ACAGAGCAUCUAUNAACCCCGCCUCUCAAUGCGAUAUUUCCUGNGAAUUNCAGAAUUCAGUGAAUCAUCGAAUCUUUGACCGCCCCUUGCG
rnacentral:rRNA from 1 species